GGCGGCAGGCCUAACACAUGCAAGUCGAACGGUAACAGGAUAGCUUGCUAUCGCUGACGAGUGGCGGACGGGUGAGUAAUGCUUAGGGAUCUGCCUUUAGGAGGGGGAUAACCAUUGGAAACGAUGGCUAAUACCGCAUAAUGUCUGAGGACCAAAGGGGGCUUUUAGCUCCCACCUAGAGAGGAACCUAAGUGAGAUUAGCUAGUUGGUGGGGUAAAGGCUCACCAAGGCGACGAUCUCUAGCUGUUCUGAGAGGAAGAUCAGCCACACUGGAACUGAGACACGGUCCAGACUCCUACGGGAGGCAGCAGUGGGGAAUAUUGCACAAUGGGGGAAACCCUGAUGCAGCCAUGCCGCGUGUGUGAAGAAGGCCUUCGGGUUGUAAAGCACUUUCAGUUGUGAGGAAAGGUUAGUAGUUAAUACCUGCUAGCUGUGACGUUAACAACAGAAGAAGCACCGGCUAACUCCGUGCCAGCAGCCGCGGUAAUACGGAGGGUGCAAGCGUUAAUCGGAAUUACUGGGCGUAAAGCGCACGCAGGCGGUUUGUUAAGCUAGAUGUGAAAGCCCUGGGCUCAACCUGGGAGGGUCAUUUAGAACUGGCAGACUAGAGUUUUGGAGAGGGGAGUGGAAAUUCCAGGUGUAGCGGUGAAAUGCGUAGAUAUUCUGGAGGGAACAUCAGUGGCGGAAAGGGCGGACUUCUUCUGGCCAAAGGACUGA
rnacentral:rRNA from 1 species